AAGUCGUAACAAGGUUUCCGUAGGUGAACCUGCGGAAGGAUCAUUAACACGUAUCCAACGUUAAACAACCCUGUGAACUUUCAGACGGCGUCGUCGCCCCGGCGGAACAGCAAUCCCGGUAAAUCAAUUGGCGGAAAGGUUUUGAUUCGGGACCUCUGAACCAAAGGGUGUCAGCGUGCCUAGAAGCAGUGGCAUGGUUUCCCUAAGCAGUGCAGAAGGAUCCACUGAGUAAGGAUAACGCAUCUCGGUUGCCAGAGGUCGAUUACCGGCCGGCAGACAUGUCACAGGGCUAUAUGCCCC
rnacentral:misc_RNA from 1 species